rnacentral:hammerhead_ribozyme from 1 species
AUCCAGCUGAAAGGGUCCCAAAUAGGACGAAAUGCGUGCCCUGGAU